rnacentral:rRNA from 1 species
AUUGAACGCUGGCGGCAGGCUUAACACAUGCAAGUCGAGCGAGCGGCGGACGGGUGAGUAAUGUCUGGGAAACUGCCUGAUGGAGGGGGAUAACUACUGGAAACGGUAGCUAAUACCGCAUACCCUCAGAUGUGCCCAGUUGGGAUUAGCUAGUAGGUGGGGUAAUGGCUCACCUAGGCGACGAUCCCUAGCUGGUCUGAGAGGCUGACCAGCCACACUGGAACGGGUACAAGGUCCAGACUCCUACGUGAGGUAGCAGUGGGGAAUAGGUCAAAAUGGGCGCAAGCCUGAUGCAGCCAUGCCGCGUGUGUGAAGAAGGCCUUCGGGUUGUAAAGCACUUUCAGCGAGGAGGCGUUACUCGCAGAAGAAGCACCGGCUAACUCCGUGCCAGCAGACGCGGUAAUUC